rnacentral:rRNA from 1 species
ACUACGAACGGGUGGAGCCUGCGGUUUAAUUGGAUUCAACGCCGGAAAUCUCACCGGGGGCGACAGCAAUAUGAAGGUCAGGCUGAAGACCUUACCCGAUUUAGCUGAGAGGUGGUGCAUGGCCGUCGUCAGUUCGUACUGUGAAGCAUCCUGUUAAGUCAGGCAACGAGCGAGACCCACGUCCACAGUUGCCAGCAUACCCUCCGGGGUGAUGGGUACACUGUGGAGACCGCCGCUGCUAAAGCGGAGGAAGGAGUGGGCAACGGUAGGUCAGUAUGCCCCGAAUCUCCCGGGCUACACGCGGGCUACAAUGGUUGGUACAAUGGGCAUCUACCCCGAAAGGGGAAGGAAAUCUCUUAAAGCCAAUCGUAGUUCGGAUUGAGGGCUGCAACUCGCCCUCAUGAGGCUGGAAUCCGUAGUAAUCGCGUUUCAACAGAACGCGGUGAAUACGUCCCUGCUCCUU